CGCGAUUCACAUCUCAACCGAAAUAUUUGUAAAGCGAUACGAACGAGUUACGAGAUGAAAUCCGCAAUGUUUAAAAACGCGAUUCAUAGCACACAUACUUUGAUCUCGUUUUCAUAUCGCUAGUUCGUAUUUGGAUGGCUUGAGUGAAAUGAAUGAAACUAUAUUUUUUUUUAAUUGCCAUGCUAAAAUUAUAAAUACUACCACUAAUUGUUUUAAAUAAUUUUGUUCCUACAAUAUAUUUUGUUGGAAUUAGUGUCGAUAGCAAGUAUCAAGAAACAGCUUUUUAAUUCAACGUUGAAGAAAUUCAUAACCUGUGGCACUUUUGACAGCCGCCAUGUUUUCUCCAUAAAAACAUUGAUUUUCUUUGCUCAUUUUCGUGUCAACGUAGUUUUUUUGGAAAAUAAGAAGAAAGGAAGUUUAACUUACUUAGAGAAAUACGACUGAGACAUAAACACAAGCAGCAGCCGAUGUGCUUGAGUAGCAGAAGGAGCAACUGCGUUGUGUGAGGGCCACGGCUUCAGCCCUCACAAUGAUAGCUGAUUAGCUGAAGUAAUGAACAGACAGGCUGCAGUCAAUGAGAGGCUUCUUGAGGAGGGGUUCCUCAUAUGGAAAAAGGUAGGUUAUUCCUAAAUGUUUGGCUAAAUAAUAGAAUAGAAUUUAACUUCAUUGUUACCCCAAUAAUGUCUUAGGAAAACUGGUGUUGAAUAUUUAUGUUACAGCGUAGUUUUGUUUAGUAUCUGUCUGUAAUUUUUUAGAACAAUAUCAUACUGAACUUUUCAUUUUGUCUUUUCUAGGCUAAUGAAAGGAACAAUCAAGACUGGCGGUGCGCGGGAGGAUCCCGUCCCUGCGCCUGGCCUUCAAUGGCCUCACGCCUCUCUUCUUCCUCUUCUUCAUGCGUCAAUUCAAACAGAGGAGCACCUGUGAUUACUGAUUACCUAAGUUCCUAUAUACAAUAAUAGUUUAAUAAUUGUUAACAAAAUAUUGUAUUAUAUAAGUAUUAAUAACUAUACACAAGGCUAAAAGCAUUUUGUAACAGUCAACCUAUAAGAGAGAAUAUGAGAAAAAAUAAGACAAUUUAAUCUUUGAUUGCCAUUAUCUGUAGCUUUAUUAAGUGGUAAAGGGACCUAAUAUAUGUAUUUGUGAUAAUUCAUAGAAUUUAUUAGUUCUAUCAAUAAAUAAAAUAGACAUGCA